rnacentral:rRNA from 1 species
GAUGAACGCUGGCGGCGUGCCUAAUACAUGCAAGUCGAGCGAACAGACGAGGAGCUUGCUCCUUUGACGUUAGCGGCGGACGGGUGAGUAACACGUGGAUAACCUACCUAUCAGACUGGGAUAACUUCGGGAAACCGGAGCUAAUACCGGAUAAUAUAUUGAACCGCAUGGUUCAAUAGUGAAAGACGGUUUUGCUGUCACUUAUCGAUGCAUCCGGGCCGCAUUAGCUAGUUGGUAAGGUAACGGCUUAUCACGGCGACGAUGCGUAGCCGACCUGAGAGGGUGAUCGGCCACACUGGAACGGAGACACGGACCAGACUACUACGGGAGGCAGCAGUAGGGAAUGGUCCGCAAUGGUCGAAAGUCUUACGGAGCAACGCGGCGUGAGUGAUGAAGGUCUUGGGAGCGGAAAGCUCUGUUAUGAGGGAAGAACAAAUGUGUAAGGAAAUAUGGAGGUAUUGACGGUACUGAAUCAGAAAGCAACGGCUAACUACGU